rfam:Strongylocentrotus purpuratus Contig76020_fixed, whole genome shotgun sequence.
GCGCGAUAGCUCAGUUGGUAGAGCAGUGGUCUUAUAAUCCGGUGACCCGGGUUCAAAACCAAGUUGAUGCG